AGUGAAACAGAGACACCGAGAGACACAGGGCUGACGCUGAAGUGAUUAUUCCAAACGGCUCUGCACGUCAUUCUUCUCUCUAGUGAUGAUGUGUUCAAGUAUGUUCACAGCUUUCAUUCAGACAAGACUUAUAUUCAAGUACCUGCUGAGAUUUAGAAGCUGAAUUCCACUCCAAAAUAAUCUCACCCUCCUCCUUAAAUCAUCCCCUUCUCUGAUGUCGACCAUCUCUGCAAUGGCAACCCUGUCCAUCACUCUCUCCUUUCCUCUCUAAGCACCCCUUCCCAACACCAUGACAAGCAUCCUUGAAAAUCUAAGUACUGG
ensembl:lncRNA